ensembl:lncRNA
UCACCACAGCUCACAGCAAUGCCGGGUCCUUCACCCACUGAGCAAGGCCAGGGAUCGAACCCGUAACCUCAUGGUUCCUAGUUGGAUUCGUUAACCACUGCGCCACGACGGGAACUCCUCCAUGGACUCUUUUGCUCAAAGUUACAUUUUCUCUGAAUCCAUCCUAUUUAAAAUUUCAACCCAUUCCUCCUCAUGACACCCCCAAUCUAUCUCCUCUCCCAUGAUUUCCUUUUGGUUUUGCACUGUACUUGUCACUUGUGAACACACUGUAUGAUGGGCUUUGUAUUACUCUUAUUAUUUUUUUGCACACCUUCUCCCCCUAAAUAUCUGUGGAAAUGCAAAACACCCCAAUCAGGGAUCAUUGUCUUUUUAUUGCUGUUUAUUGAUGUUUCCAAGCACCUUAAACAGUGCCUAGAACAUAGUAGUUGAUGAGUGAAUGCAUGGGUGAAUGAAUGAAUGAAUAAAAAAAGAACUUGACGGGAGUUCCUGUUGUGGCUCAGUGGUUAAUAAAUCUGACUACCAUCCAUGAGGAUGCAGGUUCGAUCCCUGACCUUGCUCAGUGGGUUAAGGAUCUGGUGUUGCUGUGAGUUGUGGUGUAGGUCACAGACGUGGCUUGGAUCCUGUGUUGGGGUGGGUGUGGCAUAGGCCAGCAGGUACAGCUCCGAUUAGACCCCUAGCCUGGGAAUUUCCAUAUGCUGCGGGUACGGCCCUGAAAAAAAAGAACUUGAUGAAUCUCCACUCUCUCCUUCACCAGGGGAGGUGGAUACUUACUUAAGGCAGAAUGGCUUUCGUGUCCUAGUAUUUACUUAUUUACUUCUUGUUUUAGCUAAGUCUUUGGAAGUCGCUGCUAAUCUACCAUCUUUUUUGCCAAAGCUUUUCUGUCUCUCAGAGUACCUAGACCUACGUACCAAUAACUUGGCCAUGGGCAUCAUUUUUUUAAAAAAAAGUCUCUGAAAAAGAUGGGUCAUAUGUCUCUUGCCACAGACAUGGGAACAAUGCUUUCUGCCCUGGACAGGCCCAGACCGCAGUGUGUUCCUUUAAGACGAGAUUGUGCUCUUAUAUUGAUAUCGCUAGAGGAGCCUCUUGACAUGAAUCUGAUACAAUUUCCCCAGUUACUAAACGCAGGUCUGACUCUGCCUUCUCUGCAUUUCUCUGGAGUCCCACAGAAAACAGGAUGACUGGCUCAGAAGUCAAAAUAUGUUUAGUGGAGAGAGAUUACAGACUGUAAAACACACCGCGUUUUAGCGAUGAAGAUUAUUGUUAUUGCCAUUGUUGUUAUUGGUUUGCCCUCUGCCACACACAGGAAGACUUGGUAACUGUUCCUGCUUCCUUGUUCUCAGAGCAUUCACAUUUGCCCCAAAUUGGCCUGAGUGAUAUAAUUAGCCCAGAACACUUCCUCAUUGUUAUCCUGAUAAAAGCAAGUUUUCUCCAGGCCAGCUUGUGUCUCCAUUACCCCAGGCCUCCAUGGCCGGGAUCAAUAAGGAUAUAUAAAGCCCCCAGAAGGGCACCAUUCUGGGGAGAGGGGGCCAGGGAGGGGGGGCGCAGAAAGACAAAGAGCUUCUCAGGGCUGUUUAGGCUCCCUUAUGCCAAGCCCUUGGACUUUAAUGAUUGUUUUUGUCAUUGUGCACAGCAAGCUGCAGUUUAUCUUUCCUGAGAUUUCAGAACAGGAUGCUCUUCUCUUGUGCUUGGGUCUGUUUGGCAUAAUCGCGAGUUCUUUAGCCAUCACUCGCAAUGGCACACCCCAGAAAGCAGAAAGAGAGGAAAAAAAUGGGCAGGUCAUGGAACAUUCCAAACUCCAUCCAACACCCUUUGUAUAGUUCCUAGCANGAAUCAAAAAGCAGCGGGCCGGGGGAGGGGGGGGGGAGAAUGAGACUGACCUUAUCUGAUUAUCUGAAGUGUUAUCUAAAAGCACAGGGCAGUGGUAUGGGUCUCAGUUAAGAAAGACCUUGAUUCUACUUAAUUCUAAUCUUGGUUCUGUUGCUUUCCAUCAACGUGAACUUGGGUAAUUUAUUGAAACUUUCGGUGACUCAGUUUCUUCAUCCGUAAGACGGAAACAAUAAUACCUUUUGUAGAGUUGUUGUGAGAACCAGAGGUGAUUACUUAAAGAUCUUGGCACAUAUCGGGUACAGAACAUGUGGAGAAAUGCCCAUUUUGAAUCCCCCGAGGGCUGGUGGUCCAUAUGUUGUGAGCGAUGGGUUUCCUCAUGCCACAACCAAAAUCCCUUCAUUUCUCAGUCCUCUGUAUCACCAGUUAUUUUCCCCCUUAGGCAAAUAUCUCCAUUGAUGGCAAUGAUUUCCAUAAUCUUGUCACCUUAAUUGCUGCUGUCACUGUAGGCACUGAAGUUAAUUUUGAUUUCUUUUUGUUUCUGCUCAGUGCUUUGGAUUGUGACUAAUGCAAUUAUUUUCGGGUUUGGCUUAGAGCAGUGUUCCCAGCAGCUUGAAGAGCAAGCCUGAGCUUUCCAUGUGGGGCCACUUUCUGCCCAGGGACUGCAGGGUGCUGGAAAUUUCAGGAAAGGAAUCCAUAGUU